AACGAACGCUGGCGGCAUGCCUAACACAUGCAAGUCGAACGAGACCUUCGGGUCUAGUGGCGCACGGGUGCGUAACGCGUGGGAACCUGCCCUUAGGUUCGGAAUAACUCCCCGAAAGGGGUGCUAAUACCGGAUAAUGUCUUCGGACCAAAGAUUUAUCGCCUUUGGAUGGGCCCGCGUUGGAUUAGCUAGUUGGUAGGGUAAAAGCCUACCAAGGCGACGAUCCAUAGCUGGUCUGAGAGGAUGAUCAGCCACACUGGGACUGAGACACGGCCCAGACUCCUACGGGAGGCAGCAGUGGGGAAUAUUGUACAAUGGGCGAAAGCCUGAUCCAGCAAUGCCGCGUGAGUGAUGAAGGCCUUAGGGUUGUAAAGCUCUUCUACCCGGGAUGAUAAUGACAGUACCGGGAGAAUAAGCUCCGGCUAACUCCGUG
rnacentral:rRNA from 1 species